GACGAACGCUGGCGGCGUGCUUAACACAUGCAAGUCGAACGGAAAGGCCCUGCUUGCCGGGUACUCGAGUGGCGAACGGGUGAGUAACACGUGGGUGAUCUGCCCUGCACUUCGGGAUAAGCCUGGGAAACUGGGUCUAAUACCGGAUAGGAGCCAUUUUUAGUGUGAUGGUUGGAAAGUUUUUUCGGUGUAGGAUGAGCUCGCGGCCUAUCAGCUUGUUGGUGGGGUAAUGGCCUACCAAGGCGGCGACGGGUAGCCGGCCUGAGAGGGUGGACGGCCACAUUGGGACUGAGAUACGGCCCAGACUCCGACGGGAGGCAGCAGUGGGGAAUAUUGCACAAGGGGCGCAAGCCUGAUGCAGCGACGCCGCGUGGGGGAUGACGGCCUUCGGGUUGUAAACUCCUUUCGCUAGGGACGAAGCUUUUUGUGACGGUACCUAGAUAAGAAGCACCGGCUAACUACGUG
rnacentral:rRNA from 1 species